rnacentral:lncRNA from 1 species
GUGGUUGUUGCUAGUAACCUUUUACCCCUACCUGCCCUUUAGCUUGUGCACAACAUGGCAGAUCCUUGAGCAGCACAGAGUCUGAGCCUGAGAGUGAAGAUAACGUCCAGAGUAUUCCAUCCCUUCCCAAGGCCUUUCCAUCCAUCAAAGCUCCACAGCAUCCAGUAGCUCCCCUCCCCACUUCCUUUUCCAAAACUCCCCAGAUGACUUCUGUCCCUCUCUCCAACUACAGAAAGAAACAUUCCACCAAAAUGGAGGAGGUUGCCAAAGAGGAGACACAUGAGGAGGAAGAAGAGGAAGAAGAAGACCUCACAGAUGAAAAUGAUCAGGCCAAAGUGGAUGGAGACUCCCUUAUUGCCACCAUUCCUGUUUCAGAGAGAGAAGUCUCCAAAGAUAAGGAAAGGGAUUUCCUUUCUGAGUUGGGUCUGGAGAAGGGAGAGGAAGAGCAGGAUUCAUGGGACUCUGAGUCUCAUUCUGAAAACCCCAAGAAGCCACAUGAAGGAGAUCAAAGCUCUCAUGUUCAAGUUCAAGAAGUGUCCAUUGUUGAAGAGGACAAUGAAGAAGCCGUAAAGAACAAUAAUGAGGUUGAUAGGGGCCUCAGUGACACCAGUGGCAAAGAUGUUCAUGAUGGUUCACAAAAAGAGGUAGGUUCAGCAACUGAAUGCUACAGAAAAUAAAUGAAAUGGUGACUGAUUGAAAUCAAAUAACAAUGUUUCCCGCCUCUGCCAGACUGAGAAGACAAAACGGGAGCCACUCUCUGUUUUGAGCAAACUAAAAGGAGAUACAGAUAGAAAGACAGGUAAACUGGCAUGUUCUGGGUCUCCUCAUUUUGGAUGCUAGAUAAUUCAUGGAGUUCUUUGAAAUCUUACUAUAAAGUUUCAUCAUAUAA